ACUUUAAUAGCUUAUUAAGAGCAUAAUAUUGAAGAUAUUAAGGAGAAUUAAUUCUUAAAGUA
rnacentral:tRNA from 1 species